GCUUAACACAUGCAAGUCGAGCGAGAAUCGUUUUGCUGAAGGUUUCGGUCUGACGCAGAAUGAGGAAAGCGGCGAACGGGUGAGUAACGCGUGGGCAACCUGGCCUUAAGAAAAGGAUAGCCCCCGGAAACGGGGAGUAGAACUUUAUGAGAAUGAAAGAGGGCAUCCUGUUUCUAUUCAAAGCGCAAGCGCUUAAGGAUGGGCCCGCGUAUCAUUAGCUAGUUGGGGAGAUAACAGCCCACCAAGGCAACGAUGAUUAGCCGGUCUGAGAGGGCGAACGGCCACAUUGGAACUGAGAGACGGUCCAAACUCCUACGGGAGGCAGCAGUGGGGAAUAUUGCGCAAUGGAGAAGAACUCUGACGCAGCAAUACCGCGUGAGCGAAGAAGGUCUUCGGAUCGUAAAGCUCUGUUAUCAGGGAAGAAGAAAAUGACGGUACCUGAUGAGCAAGUCCCGGCUAACUACGUGCCAGCCGCCGCCGUAAGAC
rnacentral:rRNA from 1 species